rnacentral:rRNA from 1 species
UACGUAGGGUGCAAGCGUUGUCCGGAAUUAUUGGGCGUAAAGAGCUCGUAGGCGGCUUGUCACGUCGGCUGUGAAAACCCGGGGCUCAACCCCGGGCCUGCAGUCGAUACGGGCAAGCUAGAGUUCGGCAGGGGAGACUGGAAUUCCUGGUGUAGCGGUGAAAUGCGUAGAGAUCAUGAGGAAGACCAGUGGCGAAGGCGGGUCUCUGGACAGUUCCUGACACUGAGGCACGAAGGCCAGGGGAGCAAACGGG